UCAGUAGGAAGCAUAUUCUGUAUCUAAUAAAGAAACGAUAGGUCAGACUAAAGCGCGAGAUGCACGUUGAAAGUAAACACACAUGAGAUAAUAUGUAUAAUUUAGUCUGACGAAAUUUAUGUAGUUGAAACGUGAAUAUCUAAGCAUAGAAAUUUGAUAUAGAUAACCACCGAAUGGCUCAUAAUCCAGCGGCAUGUCGCGCCUAUCGUUCCAAGCUCGAAAGAUAAAUAGAAGCACGGGGACCAGCACCGCCUCGAGGGCAUUACGUCGCUCGUUCUCUUUCACGCGCAGGUUGGUAUACCUCGAAUUUGCAUUGCCCAGACAACGGCAGUGCUGCUGUCUGUACCCAACGAAACUUCAAGCCUGCCAACAUUUCUAGCUUCCGUUUCGACAGCGCGUCAUUCUCUCGUUGAAAAUGCGAAUACUGGUGAAAAGGAAAUGGAGAGAAAAAAAGAAUUGGUUGCAUCUAAUAUAUAAACCUGAAUAUACAUAGUAAUACAGUGAUUAAUGAAUUCCCGAUUUGAGAGUUUUUUUAUUUAUUUAAAUUUUAUAUAAAAAAUGUGCUGUGCUGUUACAACAUAUUCUAUAGGAAAGUCUGUACAGACUAUGGUUUUAAUUUGUCGCGUUUUAUUAGAGCUCGCGUGCUUCGACGGUAAGCUCGCACUUGUCCUUGCGUGCAAGUGUUUCGAGUUACGUUUUUAGCUAGAUGUUCUGAUCUUCUUUUCUUACGACGAAGGCGUACUUCGUAAUUUUAAUUACAACUAUAAUUACUCGUAGUGAUAUGAGAUAAGGAAUAUGAUGGAGAGGUUGAUACAAUUGUAUGGAUACAAAGGAACUAAUAUUACUUCAGAGAAAAACUUACGACGACUAAAGCAUUACCUGUGAUGAUUGAUGACGAUGCAUAAAACGAUUUGAUUAUUAUCAAUGUGGUUAUUAAAUGUUUAAAAAAAUUACUACUUAUUUACUAUAAAUUAGAUUACUUAAUUACAAAAUAAGAUAUCGAUUUUAAUAUUAUUAAAAAUACAUAUUUUUCUGUUAGAAAGACUAUAUCUAACGAGGUAACGCUGAUGUAUCAAUACCCAUUUAUCCAUUUAGUGAUAACUAUAUAUUACUAUGCAUGAUAACUGUGUUAUACAAGUAGCUCGCUGUACUGAGAGAUCGCAGUUCUGAACAAAUCUAUCGAGUUGUAAGACCGAUUAUGCGAGGUAAUGCGACACGAUGUGACGAUGUUAUCGGUGCGCUACAUGUUAAAUUAAUUAGGUGUAGUUGUUUUCUGUUUUGUUGUUGUAUAAAAUAUGAUUUAUUAAUGCAAAUACAGUUAUCGAAAGUAAUAUAAAAAUGUUGAGUAUACCAACAACUUUAGGUCCGCCGAAGAUUCUUCGAGGCAUUGAAAAAUAAUUCAAGGUAGAUGUAUAGUAUGUACUUGUUAAAAACUCUGUUUUCAUUAGAAAUUCAUAAGGAAACUUGAUAUUAAAUUUAAUAUAAUACGCAUUCCCUACUUAUUGAAAGAACAUGAAAAGUUGUUUUAACUUUCUGAAGUUCUCGGUAAUUCUAUAAAAAGAAACCACGAAAUGACGAAGAGAAGAAAACAAAAAGAUGUAUUGGUAACUUUAGUUCAUCAAGCGUGUAGAUGGUCUGACAACAUAGCGGGAAAAUAUUUUAAGAAGAAAUUAGGUCGACGACGAAAUUAAGUUUUAGUGUAACUUUCUCAAUAACCGCUACUUCCUUUCCUCUCUUUAUAUUUUUUUGCCUUAUAUUUUAAUAAAUUUUGCUUUCAAGUAUGUACUAGCAUUUAUCGUAAUUUUAAUUUAAUAAAGUUUUAUGAUUAAAAUUGUAUGUGUGGUAUUUUCAGAUAUAAUAUUCAGAAUAUAUUUGAUUUAUUAUUAGAAAAGAGAUAAUUAAGAAAACUAGUAUGUAUAGGAAACUAAUAUGAAAUUGACUCAAAUAUACCUUAUUCUUAAAAGUUCUUGUCGCACAACCAAUCUCCUAUACAAUUUCAUUUUCUAUUCAUAUGUUUCAUUUCUGAUUUAUGUUCAACGAUUAAAAAUAGAUAAUAAUUGAUCUUAUUUCAACUACAUUUGACGUCUCGUCGUUUGCGUUUGGUCCUCUGCCUGUAGGUCUUCAAGUAAACGCGAUAAUUUCUUGACCCCGCAGGCAUCUUACAUCCUCAUACCUAUGUCCAAUUGAAUUCGGAAGUGCAUAUACCAAUUGUUGGUCGGCGUCCAGACAUACUGAUAUCAGACCAGGAAAUGUUCCGGUAUCGACCGCUUUACCUGUGAAACUAUGCGAACAUACAGUGACUGAACCGACGCUGAAGGAACUUCGUUACGUCAAAACCAAGGUGAUCUGUAAAUUGAUUUCGCUAUUUAAAUAAAAAGCAGCCUUCAGCUAAUAACUCAA